UACGUAGGGGGCUAGCGUUGUCCGGAUUUAUUGGGCGUAAAGAGCGUGUAGGCGGCCAGGUAGGUCUGCUGUGAAAACUCGAGGCUCAACCUCGAGACGUCGGCGGAAACCAUCUGGCUAGAGUCCGGAAGAGGAGAGUGGAAUUCCUGGUGUAGCGGUGAAAUGCGUAGAUAUCUGGAGGAACACCGGUGGCGAAGGCGGCAUCCUGGACCAACACUGACGCUGAUGAGCGAAAGCCAGGGGAGCAAACGGG
rnacentral:rRNA from 1 species